rnacentral:rRNA from 1 species
UACAGAGGGUGCAAGCGUUAAUCGGAAUUACUGGGCGUAAAGCGUGCGUAGUCGGUUAUCUAAGUCGGAUGUGAAAUCCCCGGGCUCAACCUGGGAAUUGCAUUCGAUACUGGAUAGCUAGAGUUCGGCAGAGGGAAGUGGAAUUUCGGGUGUAGCGGUGAAAUGCGUAGAUAUCCGAAGGAACAUCAGUGGCGAAAGCGACUUCUUGGACCAGAACUGACGAUCAGGCACGAAAGCGUGGGGAGUAAACAGG